rnacentral:rRNA from 1 species
AGCAGCCGCGGUAAUUCCAGCUCCAAUAGCGUAUAUUAAAGUUGUUGCAGUUAAAAAGCUCGUAGUUGAAUUUCGAGAUCAAAUUGUUGGUCGUGCCUUGGUACGCACUGGCAUUAUUGGUUUCUCCCUUCUGACGAAUCAUGAUGUCAUUAAUUUGGUGUCUUGGGGAAUCAGGACUGUUACUUUGAAAAAAUUUAGAGUGUUUAAAGCAGGCUCACGCUUGAAUACAUUAGCAUGGAAUAAUGAAAUAGGACGUUUGAUUCUAUUUUGUUGGUUUCUAGGAUCGACGUAAUGAUUAAUAGGGAUAGUUGGGGGCAUUAGUAUUCAAUUGUCAGAGGUGAAAUUCUUGGAUUUAUUGAGGACUAACUACUGCGAAAGCAUUUGCCAAGGAUGUUUUCAUUAAUCAAGAACGAAAGUUAGGGGAUCGAAGACGAUCAGAUACUGUCGUAGUCUUAACCAUAAACUAUGCCGACUAGGGAUCGGAUGAUGUUAAUUUUUUUAGUGACUCAUUCGGCGCCUU